CCAAGCUGAGAAACAGGACAGCAAGAACUAGAGAUGAGUAUUGUUCACUGGGAGGUGACAUUGCAAAAUCCAGACUAAAGUACACCACACGAGAAUGGCUUUAGUGAACUGCUGAACCAUGUUGCAUACAAAGCACCACAAAGAGCUCCAUGAAGGAGAACUUCCAUGACAGACUGACUGGACCUUGUUC